UUAAAUCAUGUUUUAAAAUCAACUAUGUAUCAAAUAAAAAUAUCAUAUAUUAAAAUCCAAAAAAUAAAACGUAUAUCGUGUUGUUUGUAAGCAUCUCAUUUGCAUCUCUUUUGCUGGCUCUCUCUCUCUCUCUCUCUCUCUCUCUCUCACACACACACACACACACACACACACACACACACUGACUGCUGAGAGGGAGAAACAGGUCGCGGCAUCAGCUCUCACAAACUCUUUAAACUUUAAACGCUUGACCCGCGCGCGGAGGAGCGGAACCCUUGACGCCGCCCGGAUCCGUGAAGAGCUCUCUGCUCCAUCUUCAGCUGCCUGAGACGUGAACCUCAGAAAGACUCUUAAUGAAUCAGUAUUCGCCGCUCGAUGCCAUGGCGUUCAAAGGAAACAUCACGCUGCCGAAGCUCCCGGAGUCUAACAUGGCUCUGAGCGUGUUAGGCGUGUUUCUGGGAUUGCUUCUGGAAGUUUCCACACAUGGACCCUCCAGCGUGCCCAGAAGCUCUUGGAGGCACGACGAUGUGAAUGUGCAGGAGUUCUGGGAGCCGGAUGUGUUUAACUACACGACUCUCCUGCUGAGCGAGGAGCGCGGCGUGCUGUAUGUCGGCGCUCGAGAGGCCGUCUACGAGCUCAACAUGAGCAACGUGUCAAUCAAGAGCAACCAGCUUCUGUGGAAAGUUUCAGAGAGCGACAUGUCGAUGUGUAUUUUAAAGGGGAAAUCUAAAGAGACGGACUGUCGGAACUACAUUCGAGUUCUGCAAGUGCUGGAUGAAGACACUCUGUAUGUUUGCGGGACUCACGCGUUUCAACCUCUCUGUGAUUAUCUGUCGCUGCAGGGUUUUGGUUUGCAGGAGAGAGCGGAGGAUGGCAGGGGGAAAUGUUCCUUCGACCCGGCCCAGAGCUUCACCACUGUGAUGGUUGAUGGCGAGUUGUACUCGGGAACGGCGUAUAACUUCCUGGGCAGCGAGCCGAUCAUCUCCAGAUCUUCUCUGUCUCAGAGUCUGCUGCGCACAGAGUAUUCAACGUCCUGGCUCAACGAGCCCAGUUUCGUCUUCGCUGAUGUGAUCCGAGAAGGACAGAACAGUCCGGAUGGAGAUGACGAUAAGAUCUACUACUUCUUCACCGAGGUGUCGGUGGAGUACGAGUUCUUCGGGAAGCUGCUGAUCCCCAGAAUCGCUCGCGUUUGUAAGGGGGAUCUGGGCGGCCAGCGGACGCUGCAGAAGAAGUGGACGUCGUUUCUGAAGGCUAAGCUGGUUUGCUCCAUGCCAGAGCUCAACUUUGUCUUCAAUGUGGUUCAUGACGUGUUUAUUCUGAAAGCGCCGCACUGGAGAGACACCAUCAUCUAUGGGGUCUUCACAUCUCAGUGGGGGAAUGUCGGUCUGUCCGCCGUCUGUGCGUAUAACAUGAGCUCAGUGCACGAGGUUUUCUCCAAAGGGAAGUUCAUGCAGAAGGCCACGGUGGAACAGUCCCACACCAAGUGGGUUCGAUUUAAUGGCAUCACCCCGAGUCCCAGACCAGGAGCGGUUAGUAUUUCCCCAAAACGGGGAUUUCAGUGGUUUAUAUUUGUCACACUCUUCCUUCCACUUCCUCUUUCCUGCACAGCUUCCCCUGCAGAGCCCCGCUCUGUCCCCUCUUCCUCCUCUCUGGCCGGGGCUCGUCUGAUUCCUCCUCUGCUGAGGGAGCAGUCCUGGAGCGUUCACCCUCACCAGGCCUUUCUGCUCUUCUGCCUGGCUGUGGGUCCUAGAGAUGUAAGUGUUGAGUGGCACAUAAACGGGCAGAAGCUCGAGACUCCUGUCACUGAAUACAGACAUGUGGUGUCCCAUGAUGCCGUGCUGGUGAGCAGCUGGCUGAAGGAGGAGGCUUUGAUUAAAGACGUCCAGUACGAGUGUACAGCGGUGUCUGAAGCAGGAAGUGACACGUCUAAAGUGGAGCUUCGGCUCAACAACGAGGCCGUGGAGCGCUGGAGAACCGCUCUGACCGACCACAACACACUCCUGCAGCAGUGGAAGAAAGCAUGGGUGAGGGAGAAAGACACAAACGAGUGA
ensembl:lncRNA